ACACACACACACACACGAAAAUCUUAAUUCUAUCUCUUUUUCUCACUCCGACACUAGAAUCUGUCAAAGUGAUUUAGCUGCUGCCUAUUUACAUGUGUCAUGCCAGGUGGUUGUUGGCUGCUAUUGUUAUAUGUGUGUAUUUUUUUUUAAAUAAAUUUCAACAGGCUCUUUCCUUCUAUCAAGAUAGAGCUGCAGUUUAUCCAAGGCAGCCCCCCCCCAUGCACACACACACACACACACGCUGCAAAAUGCAAGUGAACACAGAGCAGACUUCAACCAACAAACACCACCAAUCCGUGACAGCAGUCGAAGAGGAGAACUGAUUAAUCGAUUAGCAUCCCAGAAACAGAUCAUCAGAGAGGAUGAAUUAAAACCGAGAAGAAGGCAUCUCCCAUCCGAUCCCCCACGCGCCCCUGGGAGCCAUCCCAGCCAGGCUCCCGACCAGCAUCCCUCCCUCCUUCCCAGCAAAUGGAGUAUUAUUGUUGUUAUUAUUAUUAUCACUAACCAGCCUCCUUUCCCCUCCCCCCUGCUUCAGCCUCCUCCCCUCCCCCAUCCUUAUCUUCCUCCUCCUCAUCCCCCUCCUCCGUCUUCUCUUCAUCAUCACUGGCCAACUGCAACAAGUCCUCGGACCCGCGGCCGGCGGGUGCGGACGAGGCUGCAUAAUUACCCUUAACUUUGCCACCCUCCUCCUCCUCCUCCUCCUCCUCCUGCCCCCGCGCCUUAGGCUCCGCUCAUUGCCCCCCGGUCGGGGCCGGGAGAGGGCAGAUCUGGCCGAGCCGCCGCCGCCUCCUCCUCCUCCUCCUUCGCCUCCUCCUCCUCCUCCUCGCUCUCUCCACCAUGCCAGCCAGCGCCGAGUGAGAUUUACCUCAGCAGGACACGCAGGGAGGCAAUCCCAUCCCCCUUUUGUUUGUGUUUACUAAAUUCAUGUGAUUUCCAGGAAGUGAUGCAGAGCGAGAGGAGCAGAACCAGGAGAACAUUGUACACAGAGACUAAUACACUGUGGUAUAAUCGAACGUAAUGGACUUCUCCAUUAGUGGCGGUGUAAUGUCCCUGAACAAUUUGCAGGGAUCUAGGAGAAAAAAACACUAUUCAUAAGCAAAGGAUAAACUAUGGGAGUGGAAACACCGAGGAAAAGCACCUGCCUGAAUACAGCGGUUGAGGGGACAUGACAGAGGAGAGACUCUAAAUGAACACUCUAAUGCAAAUACUAUCAACAAAGCAAUGGGUUCAAAUCAAGAAAACAUGUAAUGUCCAGUGGAUUUACGAGUCGGCUAUGGGGGGUGGGGGGGAGGAAAAGAAAAUGAUCUAUGUCUUUAACGAAUAAUGCUUGGAAAUGAUCUA
rnacentral:lncRNA from 1 species